rnacentral:rRNA from 1 species
GACGAACGCUGGCGGCGUGCUUAACACAUGCAAGUCGAACGGUAAGGCCCUUCGGGGUACACGAGUGGCGAACGGGUGAGUAACACGUGGGGGAUCUGCCCUGAACUUCGGGAUAAGCCUGGGAAACUGGGUCUAAUACCGGAUAGGCCCCUGGAAUGCAUGUCCUGGGGGGGAAAGCUGUUGCGGUGUGGGAUGGGCCCGCGGCCUAUCAACUUGUUGGUGGGGGGAUGGCCUACCAAGGCGACGACGGGUAGCCGGCCUGAGAGGGUGACCGGCCACACUGGGACUGAGAUACGGCCCAGACUCCUACGGGAGGCAGCAGUGGGGAAUAUUGCACAAUGGGCGCAAGCCUGAUGCAGCGACGCCGCGUGAGGGAUGACGGCCUUCGGGUUGUAAACCUCUUUCAGCACCGACGAAGCGCAAGUGACGGUAGGUGCAGAAGAAGGACCGGCCAACUACGUGCCAGCAGCCGCAGUAA